CCGGGUGGGUGGAUAACUUUCCGAAAGGAAGGCUAAUACAGCAUGAGACCACGGUACCGAAAGGGAUUGAGGUCAAAGCCGGCCAAUUCAUGAAAGCUGGUGCCUGAGGAUGAGCCUGCGGCCCAUCAGCUAGUUGGUAGGGUAAUGGCCUACCAAGGCGAAGACGGGUAGCUGGUCUGAGAGGAUGAUCAGCCACACUGGAACUGAGACACGGUCCAG
rnacentral:rRNA from 1 species